UUUUUUUUUGGGGAGGGGGGGGCUUCUUCGGUUGUUGGCUCCGCCGCCGCUAGGGUGAACCAAAAAAGGAGCUCCCUCUUGAUCCCUCGCCGCGACCAGGUUUAAGGGGAGGGCCUUCAUGUUCUGGUCCUGUCGUCGCCUGCUGGAAUAUGCGUCGUCGCCUCCGCCCAAGGUCGUCGGCAUUCUGGCAGCUCAUAGCCUUCUUGGUCGCUCCAGGUCAAUGCCGCCGCCACCACUGCCAUCCUCUCACGCCAGCGCCACCACCUCCUCUUCAUGCCGUAGCCGUCGCGGCCUUCUCAUUCAUCGCCUGUGAGCCACAGCUCCCUUUCCCUCUUCCUCUUCCUCUCCUUACCUGCUCACCAGCAGCCAGCCCAAGCGUCGUCUCUGGCUUUGAGGUCGCCACCUCCAGCGCCCGUCGCCAUCUCAUCUAGCGGUCGCCGACGCUCCCCGUCGCUACUGCCGCUUCCAGUGUUUGCUGCCAUCGCCAUCGCUACCGCCUCCGGCGACCACUGCCGUUGUCGCCUCCAACGACUACCACAGCCACCUACAGCGACCGCCCUCGUCGCCUUCAGCGGCAGUCGACACCACCUUCAGCGGUAGUCGUCGCCACCUCAUCCACGGUCUUCGUCCUUUGGCCAGUCGCCGCCCGAGUUCUUAGUCUUCACAGUAUUUAUAUGCUUCGGCCUGCGAAUCAAUAAGGUGUUCAGCCUUUAUGCCACUAUUCCGACCUUCGAGCCACCGUUGUACUUCGACCUGCGUGUCGCUGUGGUGUGCUCGGCCUGCGUGCCGAUAUUAUAUCUCGGCCUGUAUGCCGACGUCAUCUUUCAGCUGGCGUGCCGCUAUUAUCUCUCGGUCGGCAUGUUGUUUGUCGGAUCCAGGUCACGCGCGGCUCCCUGCACUCAGAUCUGGCUCCUCAGCUGACACAUUCAUCUAUCUUGCAAGGUCGUGACGACUCGAUCAGCAGCGCGACCAGCUCACCGAUCCAUCCGAGGGCGCCCCCCCCCGGGGCCAGGGGUACCAGGGACUGGGGCAACCUGGUCGCUAGCUGUAGGUGUUGUUGACCAUAGGACCCCUGACGACUUGGUCAACGUAGAAGACAACUCACCAUCCGGGUCAUCGAGAUGCGAUCAACAAUCUAGACACGUCACACCGGCAGUUCCGUCUUCUCAGAUUCCCGACAGGAACAUAUUUAGCGUCGUCUGUGGGAACACACCUGAUCUGGAACGUGAAGAGGGACGACGUCGGAAAAUUCUGCCAUACUCAUGACCUUGAUGGACUUCGACGGGUAUAUCAUAUUCUCCUCACUCCACGGGUAUUCGGGAGUCGAGAAAUUGAGACAGAUCCUCUGUUGGUCGGCAGGUCAAUUUUUCCGUUAUGUUUUCUUUUUCGGCCAUAAAAUCUAUCAUAGUUCGCCGAGUGAAUACUCCCGUGCUGAUCGGCCAGGUGUAUAUUAUCUGAGCCACGAGCUCAUUGACAAAGACUCCCGUGCCGAUCGGUCGGGUGUAUAUUAUCUGAGCUACGAGCUUAUUGACGAAGACUCUCGUGCCGAUCGGCGGAGUGUAUAUUAUCUGAGCCACAAGCUCAUUGACGAAGACUCCUGUGUCGAUCGACCGGGCGUAUAUUAUCUGAGCCACGAGCUCAUCGUUGAAGACUCCCGCGUCGAUCGGACGGGUUUGAGUUAUAUUAGAAGAUCGUCGAGCGGCGACGUUAAACCCCAGAGUCGAGCGACGACUAUAAACCCCUG